AUUGAACGCUGGCGGCAGGCCUAACACAUGCAAGUCGAGCGAGGGGCGGGCGGGUGAGUAAUGCCGGGGACUUGCCCAGUCGGGGGGACUACCAGUUGGAAACGACAGUUAAUACCACUUACGACUGAAUUGCACAGGUUGGAUUAGUUAGUUGGUGAGGUAAUGCCUCACCAGGGGGACGAUCCCUAGCUGGUCUGAGAGGAUGAUCAGCCACACUGGAACUGAGACACGGUCCAGACUCCUACGGGAGGCAGCAGUGGGGAAUAUUGCACAAUGGGGGAAACCCUGAUGCAGCCAUGCCGCGUGUGUGAAGAAGGCCUUCGGGUUGUAAAGCACUUUCAGCGAGGAGGCGUUACUCGCAGAAGAAGCACCGGCUAACUCCGUGCCAGCAGCCGCGGUAAUAC
rnacentral:rRNA from 1 species